CCUACGGGAGGCAGCAGUGAGGAAUAUUGGUCAAUGGACGCGAGUCUGAACCAGCCAAGUAGCGUGAAGGAUGACUGCCCUAUGGGUUGUAAACUUCUUUUAUAAAGGAAUAAAGUGAGGCACGUGUGCCUUUUUGUAUGUACCUUAUGAAUAAGGAUCGGCUAACUCCGUGCCAGCAGCCGCGGUAAUACGGAGGAUCCGAGCGUUAUCCGGAUUUAUUGGGUUUAAAGGGAGCGUAGGUGGGUUGUUAAGUCAGUUGUGAAAGUUUGCGGCUCAACCGUAAAAUUGCAAUUGAGACUGGCAGUCUUGAGUACAGUAGAGGUAGGCGGAAUUCGUGGUGUAGCGGUGAAAUGCUUAGAUAUCACGAAGAACCCCGAUUGCGAAGGCAGCUUACUAAACUGUGACUGACACUGAGGCUCGAAAGUGUGGGUAUCAAACAGGAUUAGAUACCCCUGUAGUC
rnacentral:rRNA from 1 species